GCCACAUUAGCAUUCACCAUGGACUAGGACAGAGACCCAUUGAGCAGGAAGGGGAACUGUCGUCUCCUGAUGACCCCACAUGGGAUUGUUUCCUCCAAUCCUACAGUUGAGUUUCUGGCAAAGUCAGAAUAUCACAAUGUGAGGUGAACAUGCUUCAACAAUAUAUCCUGUGGACAGCGUUUACAUGGACAUUCAAGGGGAUACUGUGCACCUGCAGGUUCCUUUGGAUAUGCCCAUACAAUGCAAUCAAAUUCUUGCCAAGGGAACGUCACAUGAUAGAGGACACAAGCCGACAGCUGAAACUAUUUGUGGGAUCUGAAAGUAAAGGCAUUGCAGCCAUACCAGGCAGCCCCAACCGUGCAACUGCCCUUCAUAAAAGACUAACCAAAACCGAAAUGGAGAUACUGUCACUGAAA